UACAGAGGUCUCAACCGUUGUUCGGAUUCAUUGGGCGUAAAGGGUGCGUAGGCGGUCGCGCAAGUCGGAUGUGAAAUCUCAGGGCUCAACCCUGAAACUGCAUUCGAUACUGCGUGGCUAGAGUGCUGGAGAGGAGACUGGAAUUCCGAGUGUAGAGGUGAAAUUCGUAGAUAUUCGGAGGAACACCAGUGGCGAAGGCGACUUACUGGACACAUAUUGACGCUGAGGUGCGAAAGCGUGGGGAGCAAACAGG
rnacentral:rRNA from 1 species